rnacentral:rRNA from 1 species
AGCAGCCGCGGUAAUUCCAGCUCCAAUAGCGUAUAUUAAAGUUGUUGCAGUUAAAAAGCUCGUAGUUGAAUUUCGGGAUCAAUUUAUCGGUCGUGCCUUCGGUAUGCACUGGUAUUAUUGAUUUCUACCUUCUGACGAACUAUGAUGUCAUUAAUUUGGUGUCAUGGGGAAUCAGGACUGUUACUUUGAAAAAUUAGAGUGUUUAAAGCAGGCACACGCUUGAAUACAUUAGCAUGGAAUAAUGAAAUAGGACGUUUGACCCUAUUUUGUUGGUUUUUAGGAUCGACGUAAUGAUUAAUAGGGAUAGUUGGGGGCAUUAGUAUUCAAUUGUCAGAGGUGAAAUUCUUGGAUUUAUUGAAGACUAACUACUGCGAAAGCAUUUGCCAAGGAUGUUUUCAUUAAUCAAGAACGAAAGUUAGGGGGAUCGAAGACGAUCAGAUACCGUCGUAGUCUUAACCAUAAACUAUGCCGACUAGGGAUCGGAUGAUGUUAAUUUUUUAAUGACUCAUUCGGCGCCUUA